GAUGAAGAACGCAGCGAAAUGCGAUAAGUAAUGUGAAUUGCAGAAUUCAGAGAAUCAUCGAAUCUUUGAACGCACAUUGCGCCCCCUGGUAUUCCGGGGGGCAUGCCUGUUCGAGCGUCAUUUCACCACUCAAGCCUCGCUUGGUAUUGGGCAACGCGGUCCGCCGCGUGCCUCAAAUCGACCGGCUGGGUCUUCUGUCCCCUAAGCGUUGUGGAAACUAUUCGCUAAAGGGUGUUCGGGAGGCUACGCCGUAAAACAACCCCAUUUCUAAGGUUGACCUCGGAUCAGGUAGGGAUACCCGCUGAACUUAAGCAUAUCAAUAAGCGGAGGA
rnacentral:misc_RNA from 1 species